UACGUAGGGGGCAAGCGUUGUCCGGAUUUACUGGGCGUAAAGAGCGUGUAGGCGGCUCGAUAAGUCUGCUGUGAAAGUCCAGGGCUCAACCCUGGAAGGCCGGUGGAAACUGUCGGGCUAGAGUCCGGAAGAGGCGAGUGGAAUUCCCGGUGUAGCGGUGAAAUGCGCAGAUAUCGGGAGGAACACCAAUGGCGAAGGCAGCUCGCUGGGACGGUACUGACGCUGAGACGCGAAAGCGUGGGGAGCAAACAGG
rnacentral:rRNA from 1 species